GAUUUCGCCCUUAGAGUUUGAUCCUGGCUCAGGACGAACGCUGGCGGCGUGCUUAACACAUGCAAGUCGAACGGAGGUUACGAGGAAGCUUGCGAAUUGUAACCUUAGUGGCGGACGGGUGAGUAACGCGUGGAUAACCUGCCUGACAGACCGGGACAACACCGGGAAACUGGUGCUAAUACCGGAUACGCUCAAGAGUGCCCAUGCACGCUUGAGGAAAGGAGCAAUCCGCUGACAGAUGGGUCCGCGUCCCAUUAGCUAGUUGGAGGUGUAAAGGACCACCAAGGCGACGAUGGGUAGCCGGCCUGAGAGGGUGGACGGCCACACUGGAACUGAGACACGGUCCAGACUCCUACGGGAGGCAGCAGUGGGGAAUCUUCCGCAAUGGGCGAAAGCCUGACGGAGCAACGCCGCGUGAGUGAUUAAGGCCUUCGGGUUGUAAAACUCUGUCAUCAGGGAAGAAAAUAAUGACGGUACCUGAGGAGGAAGCCCCGGCUAACUACGUGCCAGCAGCCGCGGUAAAACGUAGGGGGCGAGCGUUGUCCGGAAUUACUGGGCGUAAAGGGCGCGUAGGCGGUUGUCCAAGUCAGAGGUGAAAACUCUGGGCUCAACUCAGAGCGUGCCUCUGAAACUGGGCGACUUGAGGGCAGGAGAGGGGAGUGGAAUUCCCAGUGUAGCGGUGAAAUGCGUAGAUAUUGGGAGGAACACCAGUGGCGAAGGCGACUCUCUGGCCUGUUUCUGACGCUGAGGCGCGAAAGCGUGGGGAGCGAACGGGAUUAGAUACCCCGGUAGUCCACGCCGUAAACGAUGG
rnacentral:rRNA from 1 species